UGCAAGCAUGAGUGUAAGUUGCUUUGGAUAAAAGUGUCUGCUAAAUGGCAUGAG
rfam:Salmo salar isolate Sally breed double haploid chromosome ssa08, whole genome shotgun sequence.